CCCUUAGAUGUUCUGGGCCGCACGCGCGCUACACUGACGAAGUCAGCGAGCAUGUCCUACGCCGACAGGUGCGGGGAAUCUUGUCAAACUUCGUCGUGAUGGGGAUUGAUUAUUGAAAUUCUUGAUCAUCAACGAGGAAUUCCUAGUAAGCGCAAGUCAGCAGCUUGCGUUGAAUACGUCCCUGCCCUUUGUACACACCGCCCGUCGCUCCUACCGAUUGAGUGGUCCGGUGAGGCUUUGGGAUCUGAGCGGAAAGAGCGUUUCGCUGUUUCUGCUCGGAAAACUCAGUCGAACCUUAUCAUUUAGAGGAAGGAGAAGUCGUAACA
rnacentral:rRNA from 1 species